UAGGAACACACUCAGACUCCAUUUCAAAUUUGUCUCCCCUCUUUAUAGUGUCUCUGUGCUCAAGAUGGGACAACUCACUGUUUUGAUGUUCAUGGCAGCAUUGUUUUCCCUUUUCGUGGAAACAGAAGCAAAUCCUUUCAGUUACAACUAUGGGAAGCUACGGAUUGCAGGGCUCAUCUUCGCCAGCAUGUUGUUUAUGGGAGGCAUCUGUGUUCUCAUGUAUAACAGAUGCACCGGAAGAAACAAAAAACCGGAGGAAGAUAGCAGUGAAAUCUGAUAGCAGCUGGGCUCGGCUGGUUCGACACACUGGUUCGAGGUGUGAAAUUAAACACACAAAGGUUUUAUUGCUGGUAUGAGGAGGGAUUAAUUUGUUGUAAAAUGUUUAAACAGAACUAAUAAGUGCCUGCAGGGUGUUGCUAGAUUUGUCUUGCCAUAUGCCAUAGCAGUCAGGGACACGGUGGUGUAAACAGGCUAAAUAAAGCUUACCUUGUGCCUUUAAGUGCUUAAAAAACGGUUUCCCUUUCAUCACAUGUUCAACACUGGCAAAGAUUAAAAUUGUUAUAAUGUAUUAUACUGGUACAUUCAUCUGUUGCAUCGCAGGCAAGGUUCAAAUGAUUCAAUACAUAUUUGGCUAUUUUAUAUGUUCUCAAGCUAUAUUUAAGAUUAUUCUUAGUAUUAUCAACCCAUGAAGUAGCCUGUGUUAAUCAUAAUAAUCAUGCGAGUUCUGCUAGCCUAAACCGUUAUUAUUAAUCAUAACUUUCAUCUGCCCAGAAAACAGAAUCCCUUAGUUUAGAGUCUGACUUUGUGUGCAUAUAAAACCCCAAAUAAAUGUUACAAUUUUAAA